rnacentral:rRNA from 1 species
GACAGAGGGUGCAAACGUUGUUCGGAAUUACUGGGCGUCAAGCGCGUGUAGGCGGCUUGGCAAGUCGGGUGUGAAAGCCCUGGGCUCAACCUAGGAAGUGCACUCGAAACUGCCUCGCUGGAGUGCCGGAGAGGAAAGCGGAAUUCUCGGUGUAGAGGUGAAAUUCGUAGAUAUCGAGAGGAACACCGGUGGCGAAGGCGGCUUUCUGGACGGUUACUGACGCUGAGACGCGAAAGCGUGGGGAGCAAACAGG